ACUCCUUCUUUAAGGCUGCGCAAAAGAAAGAAAACCUUUCUUCUUCCUUCUUUUUCUCUCAUUGGAAAGAAUUUUUUUUCUUCAAUUUUUUACUGUAUAACUAGCAGAGGAACCUCUCUUUGAUGCCUAAGAACCAGCAAUCAAGCUCCCACAAAAUCACUCCAAGAUGAAAAGGAGAAGAGGGAGUUGGCGUGUGGAGUUUGUUGGAUGCCCCUUAUUUUUUUUGUGGCGACA
rnacentral:lncRNA from 1 species